GUGCUUGCUUCGGCAGCACAUAUACUCAAAUUGGAACAAUACAGAGAAGAUUAGCAUGGCUCCUGCAUAAGGAUGGCAUUCAAAUUAGUGAAGCAUUUCAUAUUUUU
ensembl:snRNA U6 U6 spliceosomal RNA